rnacentral:rRNA from 1 species
CAGCCGCCGCGGUAAUACGUAGGGUGCGAGCGUUAAUCGGAUUUACUGGGCGUAAAGCGUGCGCAGGCGGCCCGUUAAGACAGGUGUGAAAUCCCUGGGCUCAACCUAGGAAUUGCGCUUGUGACUGGCGGGCUCGAGUACGGUAGAGGGGGGUGGGAUUCCUGGUGUAGCAGUGAAAUGCGUAGAGCACAGGAGGAACACCGAUGGCGAAGGCAGCCCCCUGGGCCUGUACUGACGCUCAUGCACGAAAGCGUGGGGAGCAAACAGGAUUAGAUCCCCUGGUAGUCCACGCCCUAAACGAUGGGUACUAGCCGUUUGGUGCGCGAUAGCGCUGAGUGGCGAAGCUAACGCGUGAAGUACCCCGCCUGGGGAGUACGGCCGCAAGGUUGAAACUUAAAGGAAUUGGCGGG